UAUUGAAACACCGGUUCUCGUACAAUCACCGAAACUAAGCAACAUUGGGCAUGGUCAGUCCCUAGAUGGGUGACCGCUUGGGAAUACCAAAUGCC